CCGGAGCCGCCCGUACCCUAAACCGACACAGGUGGAUGAGUAGAGAAUACUAAGGCGAUCGAGAGAAUCGUGGUUAAGGAACUCGGCAAAAUACCCCCGUAACUUCGGGAUAAGGGGGGCCGGAUACGUGAACACUUUGCGUGGUAAGCGUUGAAGGCCGCAGAGACCUGGCCCAAGCGACUGUUUAUCAAAAACACAGGUCCGUGCCAAGUCGUAAGACGAUGUAUACGGACUGACUCCUGCCCGGUGCUGGAAGGUUAAGGGGACGUGUCAACUUCGGUGAAGCACUGAACUUAAGCCCCAGUAAACGGCGGUGGUAACUAUAACCAUCCUAAGGUAGCGAAAUUCCUUGUCGGGUAAGUUCCGACCUGCACGAAUGGAGUAACGACUCGGGCGCUGUCUCAACCACGAACUCGGUGAAAUUGCAAUACGAGUAAAGAUGCUCGUUACGCGCAGCAGGACGGAAAGACCCCGGGACCUUUACUAUAGUUUGGUAUUGGUGAUCGGUACAGCUUGUGUAGGAUAGGUGGGAGACGUUGAAGCGGUCACGCUAGUGGUUGUGGAGUCAUUGUUGAAAUACCACUCUGGUUGUUCUGGUUAUCUAACCUCGGACCAUGAUCUGGUUCAGGGACAGUGCCUGAUGGGUAGUUUGACUGGGGCGGUCGCCUCCCAAAGAGUAACGGAGGCGCCCAAAGGUUCCCUCAGCCUGGUUGGCAAUCAGGUGUCGAGUGUAGGUGCACAAGGGAGCUUGACUGUGAGACUGACAGGUCGAGCAGGGACGAAAGUCGGGACUAGUGAUCUGACGGUGGCGUGUGGAAGCGCCGUCACUCAACGGAUAAAAGGUACCCCGGGGAUAACAGGCUGAUCUUGCCCGAGCGUCCAUAGCGACGGCAUGGUUUGGCACCUCGAUGUCGGCUCGUCGCAUCCUGGGGCUGGAGUCGGUCCCAAGGGUUGGGCUGUUCGCCCAUUAAAGCGGCACGCGAGCUGGGUUCAGAACGUCGUGAGACAGUUCGGUCCCUAUCCGCUGUGCGCGUAGGAGUCUUGAGAAGGGUUGUCCUUAGUACGAGAGGACCGGGACGGACCAACCUCUGGUGUGCCAGUUGUUCUGCCAAGAGCAUGGCUGGUUGGCUACGUUGGGGAGUGAUAACCGCUGAAAGCAUCUAAGCGGGAAGCACGCUUCAAGAUGAGGACUCCCACAUUGGUAAGGCCCCCAGUAGACGACUGGGUUGAUAGGUCGGACGUGGAAGCACUGAAAGGUGUGGAGCUGACCGAUACUAAUAGGCCGAGGGC
rnacentral:rRNA from 1 species